rnacentral:rRNA from 1 species
UACGAAGGGGGCUAGCGUUGCUCGGAAUCACUGGGCGUAAAGGGUGCGUAGGCGGGUCUUUAAGUCAGGGGUGAAAUCCUGGAGCUCAACUCCAGAACUGCCUUUGAUACUGAGGAUCUCGAGUCCGGAAGAGGUGAGUGGAACUCCGAGUGUAGAGGUGAAAUUCGUAGAUAUUCGGAAGAACACCAGUGGCGAAGGCGGCUCACUGGUCCGGUACUGACGCUGAGGUGCGAAAGCGUGGGGAGCAAACAGG